rnacentral:siRNA from 1 species
UGUUGUUCUUGUUGGACUACUGGU